rnacentral:rRNA from 1 species
UUAAAGGAAGUUGACGGGGAGCACCACAACGGGUGGAGCUUGCGGUUAAUUGGAUUCAACGCCGGAAUCUUACCGGGACCGACAGCGAUAUGAAGGCCCAGGCUGAAGACUUUGCCGGAUUAGCUGAGAGGUGGUGCAUGGCCGUCGUCAGUUCGUACUGUGAAGCAUCCUGUUAAGUCAGGCAACGAGCGAGACCCACGCCCACAGUUGCCAGCGUACUCUCCGGAGUGACGGGUACACUGUGGGGACCGCCGCUGCUAAAGCGGAGGAAGGAAUGGGCAACGGUAGGUCAGUAUGCCCCGAAUAUCCCGGGCUACACGCGAGCUACAAUGGUUGGUACAAUGGGUAUCUACCCCGAAAGGGGAUGGAAAUCUCCUAAAGCCAAUCUUAGUCCGGAUUGAGGGCUGCAACUCGCCCUCAUGAAGCUGGAAUCCGUAGUAAUCGCGUUUCAACAGAACGCGGUGAAUACGUCCCUGCUCCUU